ACUUAUUCUCAGGGCAGGGUGGAAUUCCCUACCGGCGGUAUGCUAGUUUAAAUUAGUAAGCCCGCGAGCGCUCUUUUAUAUUAAAAGAGGUCAGCAGAUCUGGUUAGAAUCCAGAGCCGACGGUGAAAGUCCGGAUGGGAGAGAAUAUGA
rnacentral:ncRNA from 2 species